rnacentral:rRNA from 1 species
AUUGAACGCUGGCGGCAUGCCUUACACAUGCAAGUCGAACGGUAACAGGUCUUCGGAUGCUGACGAGUGGCGAACGGGUGAGUAAUACAUCGGAACGUGCCCGAGAGUGGGGGAUAACGAGGCGAAAGCUUUGCUAAUACCGCAUACGAUCUCAGGAUGAAAGCAGGGGACCGCAAGGCCUUGCGCUCACGGAGCGGCCGAUGGCAGAUUAGGUAGUUGGUGGGAUAAAAGCUUACCAAGCCGACGAUCUGUAGCUGGUCUGAGAGGACGACCAGCCACACUGGACUGAGACACGGCCCAGACUCCUACGGGAGGCAGCAGUGGGGAAUUUUGGACAAUGGGCGCAAGCCUGAUCCAGCCAUGCCGCGUGCAGGAUGAAGGCCUUCGGGUUGUAAACUGCUUUUGUACGGAACGAAAAGACUCUGGUUAACACCUGGGGUCCAUGACGGUACCGUAAGAAUAAGCACCGGCUAACUACGUGCCAGCCGCCGCGGUAA